UUAAGAGGGCUAUCACAAAUUUUCGAGUUUUAUACGAGUUUUGAUGCGUCAUUAUGCUUUGGAUAUAGUCACAAAAAAAAAACAAAAAUAAGAUUAAGAAAGUUUGAUCAUUUAUCUUGGGGCUGUUUUCAAUAAAUAUUUUAAUUUGUCCACGUACAUCAGUAAAAUCAUUGUCUCUACAAAGGAUGUUUCAUAAAAUGUUGCUUUUGGGAAUCUUUUGAUGCUUCAGUACUACGAGGAUAUAGCAAUUUAACCAUUUAUAAAAAUGUUCAAGAUACAACUAUAUCUUGUACUUGUGCUUGCUUACACCAAUUUAUUACAAUUCAUACAGUAAUACACCAAAAAUAAUUCUAUAAAACUGAGAGUUACUGACAAUUUUCCGUACAAAACUAUAUUUUUUAUCUAUGAAAGUAUAAUCCAAAUUCAAAUAAAACAUAUUUAAUAAUUAAGGUGGUAUUGUUAUAAAGCUUGAAAAAAAAAAUUGGUCUAUUUAAAAGUAAAACAAUAUUUUAAAAUAAUUUUUGUUUGCAAUGCAAAAAUCAAUAUAAAUCUUGUGACGCGCGGUGUUCAACUUUAGUCAGCGCCAAGCGCUUAUCGAGGGAGGACGUAUCGCUCGCUGUUGCGCCGCGCAAACUCGCCGGAGCUCGAAAAAUAUAGCGCAACCUGCGCAACGAACUCGUUUUGAUACUAGAUAAUGAAAGCAUAUUUAAUUCAGAUUAUCAGACUCAAUCGGAUACCAGUACAAAUAAUAUGGAAAAUGAAGAUACAAUACAUGGAAGACGAAUUAUAGAUUUUAGUUUUUUUAUAAAUCAAUUACUUAUACAUAAUUGAUAAACAUGGUGAAAAGUUUGGUUGUCGAUUAAAUAAUUUAAAAAUUGUAAACGAUUAUUUGUUUAUUGUAACUCAAUCGAGCUAUUCUAGGUUAUAAAAUUCAUCGGUACAAAUAAUAUUUCAUAAACUAUAAAACCAAUAAACUAUUUCGAAAAUAAAAGUGGCAAAGUCUCAAGUUUGUUUGUGCCGCGUGGCGGUCCGCAGGUGUGCGUUGCGUAUUUCACUAGACGCACACGCGCGCAAGUGCUGCCGGCUAUCGUCUAAUUUACCUAAACCUGAGCGAUUCGAUUUUGUAAUAGCGCUCU
rnacentral:lncRNA from 1 species